rnacentral:snRNA from 2 species
AAAAAGGGCGCUCGUCUUUGCACUUACUAAUAUGCAAAAGAUCACAGAACAUUGUUCUGUGUGCGGACGCAUUGCAGCAUUGCCGUUCAAUUGAUUGGACUAGGCAUAGCUUUUUUUUGCUUUGUCUUUGUAGUUCAUGUGAAUGGUUGAAUGCUUCAGUGGGGUAUGGCUUUGCAUAUCCAGUGCGUAAUUUUUGUAAAGAUGAGAAUGGGGGCUGCCGUAUCAAAGUGGAUUGCAGUCGAUCCAGAUGUGAUUGAUUAGCGUGCCAUUUUG